rnacentral:tRNA from 1 species
GGCAGUGGGGUUUAGUAGUUAAAAACAGCAUGUUGGAGAACAGAUGUCCUGGGUCCUAUUCUCAGCACUGCCA